rnacentral:rRNA from 1 species
UACGUAGGGGGCUAGCGUUGUCCGGAAUCAUUGGGCGUAAAGCGCGCGUAGGCGGCCCGGUAAGUCCGCUGUAAAAGUCAAAGGCUCAACCUUUGAAUGUCAGUGGAUACUGCCGGGCUAGAGUCCGGAAGAGGCGAGUGGAACUCCUGGUGUAGCGGUGGAAUGCGCAGAUAUCAGGAAGAACACCAAUGGCGAAGGCAGCUCUCUGGGACGGUACUGACGCUGAGACGCGAAAGCGUGGGGAGCGAACAGG